rnacentral:rRNA from 1 species
ACCGCGUGUACUGGUCCGGCCGGGUCUUUCCCUCUGUGGAACCCCAUGCCCUUCACUGGGUGUGGCGGGGAAACAGGACUUUUACUUUGAAAAAAUUAGAGUGCUCCAGGCAGGCCUAUGCUCGAAUACAUUAGCAUGGAAUAAUAGAAUAGGACGUGUGGUUCUAUUUUGUUGGUUUCUAGGACCGCCGUAAUGAUUAAUAGGGACAGUCGGGGGCAUCAGUAUUCAAUUGUCAGAGGUGAAAUUCUUGGAUUUAUUGAAGACUAACUACUGCGAAAGCAUUUGCCAAGGAUGUUUUCAUUAAUCAGGAACGAAAGUUAGGGGAUCGAAGACGAUCAGAUACCGUCGUAGUCUUAACCAUAAACUAUGCCGACUAGGGAUCGGACGAUGUUACUUAUUGACUCGUUCGGCACCUUACGAGAAAUCAAAGUGCUUGGGCUCCAGGGGGAGUAUGGUCGCAAGGCUGAAACUUAAAGAAAUUGACGGAAGGGCACCACCAGGGGUAAACUCGCAGUUGCUCUGCCCCAGAAAGCAUCCGGGAAACCGGCCGGUGGCGCGUCCCUUGGCCCAGCCUCAGCGCGGGCCGAACCAUGCUAGUCGCUUCGGCGGCGACACCCUCAAACUGACGGGAAACUCCUAAAGCCAUGCGCUACCAAGCAGGCGCCGAAAGGCGGCCUGUGGCCGGGUUAACGACCCAGGGUACGGUAAAAACGCGCUGGAUGCCACAAUGGACGAUCCGCAGCCAAGCUCCUACACGGCGCCCGCCGCACGGAGAAGGUUCAGAGACUUGACGGGGGGUGGGGUGUGCGGCGUCCUCGCCGCGCCUAAGAUAAAGUCCGUCCGCCCGGGCGAAAGCCCGGCGGAUCCCGAAAAAACGGGAGCCUGCGGCUUAAUUUGACUCAACACGGGGAAACUCACCAGGUUAACGAAUCGUCUGGGCCUGAAAAGGUGAAGGGCCGGCGUCGAGGC